rnacentral:rRNA from 1 species
GUUGGCAACGUCAAAAGCUCGACGUUCCACGAGAGUAGCAUCGUCGAUCUGCAUGCGCUGCUUGAUUUCAAGCAGGGCAUCACCGACGAUCCACGAGGAGCCCUGAGCAGCUGGAGCAACAACACCCACUUAUGUCGAUGGCGUGGUGUAAACUGCACCACAACACGUCCAUUUCGCGUCUCGCGGCUUGUCCUCACCGGCCUGGAUUUAGCAGGACAAAUCACCUCCUCUCUUGGAAACAUGACUUUGCUUCGAUCGCUCGACCUUUCAUCUAAUAACUUGGUUGGCCCCAUACCUAUCCUUGGCCAUCUCCAACAACUGGAGACACUUUACCUGUACGACAACCAUCUGCAUGGGACAAUUCCCGAUUCAGUCACCAACUGUUCCAGCUUGGCCAACUUAGAUCUCUCUGUAAAUUCGCUAGUGGGUGUAAUUCCACCGAAACUACACUUCGUUUCACAUCUUUUCUACCUAAACCUCUCUCAAAACUCUAUAGCAGGGCCAAUCCCUCCGGGACUAGGUUUCCUUUCAAAUCUGUCCUACUUGGAUCUCUCUGGAAACUUGCUAGUGGGUCAUAUCCCUUCGAAACUGGGCCUCCUUUCAAAUCUGAUCCUCUUGGGUCUCUCCAGAAACUUGGUAGUGGGUCAAAUUCCUCCGAGCUUAGGUUUUCUUCCAAAUCAACUUUACUGGCGGAAUACGAUGAGAUUGGUAUCCACGUGCUGUCAUUUACAAGCACAAGGGUGUAUUCAUUUAGAAAUAUGCAACAUAUGCAAUUGUAGAGAUGCACAGAUGGUCCUACUUUGCAUUUAUAGUUUGAAUAAAUAUGUUUUUGUAGUGAUUCACACAAGUGUGACUUGUAUGUGA